UACAAUGUUGGCAAACAGGGAGCUGGUUCCAGGAAAGAAGGGCACAUGAGCAAACAUGAUGGCCCCUUUAUGAGAGGUAAUUUACUGAAAUGCACAGCGAUUACCUGCUCACCCAGCCCUGAUGUAAUUAAAAAUGGCAGGCUAGGGGCUCUGUUUCCCCCGGCUCUGGCAGAGAAACCUGGGUUUCGACUUGUGAAGCUUGAGGUUGGAUGUGGGAAUUGGCUUGGAGUCAUAGGCGAUGAGAGGGACAUUAGGAUAUUAUGAAGCCCGUGAACUCAACUCCUGAGAAGGACGCAGCAGAGCGAGAGAAAAGAUGGAAUAAAAAGGCCUACCUCAUUGGGCUCGUGUGGGUGAGGAGAACUGAAGAGUCUGAGAGCGCGGCACGAGCCAGAGGCUACGGAAAACACUGCCCUCCUACACUCCACCUUGGAGAGACCCAGAAAAGAACAAGCUUCAUUUGUAAAAAAGGAAAACAACUCAGGCAAUGGGGGUGGCUUAAAGGCACUCUACAGUGUGCAGAUGCCUUCCACUUCUUCCAUCUGCCCUGUCUCUCCAAGAACCCCUAUGGCCCCGGUCUCAGAACAGAGCUGAGUGCAGAAAUGAAAAUCUAUGGCUCUGUGUUCCAAAACGAUGAAGAAUUUCAAGAUGGUGGCAGUGGUAAAAUCUUUCUCCAGGAAAAAUCUGUCCUUGGCCCAAUGUGUAAACACUUGCUGAGGAACUUGGAAUAACUUGCAGUGUCUUGCAGUAUUGUGAAACCAGCAACUUGUUCACAAUUCUUCUGAAUUUCUUGGGAAAUUUGAAGUGGAGUACCUGUACCAACAUGAAAUGACACGAAUUUAAGUGACGCUCAACAACGAAAAGCAAAAAGAACCAAAGAGGAAGCAACUGAAACAACAUCUGGAUGUAUUUAAAAAUAUACAAUGCCUCCAAAAUCAGGUGUCAUUAAUGAAAAUUCUGAAGAAAUGCCACCGGACAUAGCCAACGCACCUACGCUGUUGUUAUUCAUUUCCUGCUUUUCACAGAAAACAAUUUUGUUGCAUGGAAG
rnacentral:lncRNA from 1 species